UACGUAGGGUGCAGGCGUUAAUCGGAAUUACUGGGUGUAAAGCGUGCGCAGGCGGUCUGCUAAGAGAGAUGUGAAAGCCCCGGGCUUAACCUGGGAACUGCGUUUGAAACUGGGAGGCUAGAGUGCGGCAGAGGGGGGUGGAAUUCCACGUGUAGCAGUGAAAUGCGUAGAUAUGUGGAGGAACACCGAUGGCGAAGGCAGCCCCCUGGGCCAGCACUGACGCUCAUGCACGAAAGCGUGGGGAGCAAACAGG
rnacentral:rRNA from 1 species